UCCCUGGUAGUAUAUUGGUUAGUACACGCGCCUGUCAUCAUUCUUUGGAAUCUGACGCGCGAAAGCUGGGUUCGACUCCCAGCCAGGGAG